UACGAAGGGGGCUAGCGUUGCUCGGAAUUACUGGGCGUAAAGCGCACGUAGGCGGCUUUCUAAGUCGGGGGUGAAAUCCUGGAGCUCAACUCCAGAACUGCCUUCGAUACUGGAAAGCUCGAGUCCGGGAGAGGUUGGUGGAAUUCCGAGUGUAGAGGUGAAAUUCGUAGAUAUUCGGAGGAACACCAGAAGCGAAGGCGGCCAACUGGCCCGAUACUGACGCUGAGGCGCGAAGGCGUGGGGAGCAAACAGG
rnacentral:rRNA from 1 species